UGGGGAAUAUUGGACAAUGGGCGAAAGCCUGAUCCAGCCAUGCCGCGUGUGUGAAGAAGGUCUUCGGAUUGUAAAGCACUUUAAGUUGGGAGGAAGGGCAGUAAGCGAAUACCUUGCUGUUUUGACGUUACCGACAGAAUAAGCACCGGCUAACUCUGUGCCAGCAGCCGCGGUAAUACAGAGGGUGCAAGCGUUAAUCGGCAUUACUGGGCGUAAAGCGCGCGUAGGUGGUUCGUUAAGUUGAAUGUGAAAGCCCCGGGCUCAACCUGGGAACUGCAUCCAAAACUGGCGGGCUGGAGUAGGGCAGAGGGUGGUGGAAUUUCCUGUGUAGCGGUGAAAUGCGUAGAUAUAGGAAGGAACACAAGUGGCGUAGGCGACCACCUGGGCUCAUACUGACACUGAGGUGCGAAAGCGUGGGGAGCAAACAGG
rnacentral:rRNA from 1 species